rnacentral:rRNA from 1 species
CUCGUAGUUGGAUUUCGGGCGGGGCCUGCCGGUCCGCCGUUUCGGUGUGCACUGGCAGGGCCCGCCUUGUUGCCGGGGACGGGCUCCUGGGCUUCACUGUCCGGGACUCGGAGUCGGCGCUGUUACUUUGAGUAAAUUAGAGUGUUCAAAGCAGGCCUACGCUCUGAAUACAUUAGCAUGGAAUAACAUGAUAGGACUCUGGCCUAUCCUGUUGGUCUGUAGGACCGGAGUAAUGAUUAAGAGGGACAGUCGGGGGCAUUCGUAUUCCAUUGUCAGAGA